UGGUUCUGGCAUNGAUGAAGAACGCAGCGAAAUGCGAUAAGUAAUGUGAAUUGCAGAAUUCAGUGAAUCAUCGAAUCUUUGAACGCACAUUGCGCCCUCUGGUAUUCCGGGGGGCAUGCCUGUUCGAGCGUCAUUUCAAACCCUCAAGCUCCGGCUUGGUGUUGGGCGCCGUCCGCCUGAGGACGCGCCUGAAACUCGUAGGCGGUCGCGCGCGGCUCCCCAGCGUAGUCAAGUUCUCGCUCUGGACGCCCGCGUGCGGCCCCGCCUGGGAAACCACUCAUCUCAAAGGUUUGACCUCGGAUCAGGUAGGGAUACCCGCUGA
rnacentral:misc_RNA from 1 species